UUAAAAAUUCUUGCCACCCUGAAUAAGCCGGAUCCUGUCUGAUCUCGGAAGCUAAGCAGGGUUGGGCCUGGUUAGUACUUGGAUGGGAGACCACCUAGGAAGACCAGUUGCUGUAGGCG
rnacentral:rRNA from 1 species